UAAAAAUUUUAUUUUAGUUUAGGUAGUAAAUUUGUAGUUUAUUUAUAUGUAAAUAUUUGUAAUUAGUGAGUUUAAAAAGCUCGGUAAAUAAGUUUAAGGCAAUAUAUAAUUUUAAGAGUUUAAGGAGACUUAGAUUUAGGAAUCAACAAUAAUAUUAACAUAAUUUGUGCCAGCAGUUGCGGUUAUUCAAAUAAUAUAAUUUACUAGUAUUAAUUUGUAAUUAUUUGAUUUUUUAUUUAAAUUUAUAGUCUAUUAGGUGAAAUUAUAGGCUGUGAUAAAAUUGUUUAAAGAUUUUGAAGUUAUUAAAUUUUACUUAAAACUAGGAUUAGAUACCCUAUUAUAAAAAUGUAAAUUAAUAAAGUUUAAGUAGUAUUAGCUAUAGUCUUGAAAGUUAAAAAAUUUGGCGGUACUUUAAUCUAUUCAGAGGAACUUGUCCUAUAAUCGAUAAUCCACGAUUUAAUUAACUUAUUUUAAUAAUUUAUAUAUCGUCGUAGUUGAAUAUUUUUUAAGGAAUAGAAUAUUCAAAAAUUUUAAUAAAAAUAUAAAUCAGAUCAUGAUAUAGUUUAUAGAUAAGAAGAGAUGAGUUACAAAAAACUUAAUUUUAGAUUUUAUUUUGAAAAAAUAAUUGAAAUUGGAUUUGAUAGUAAUUUUACUAAAUUAGGUAAAAUGAUUUAAGCUCUAUAGUAUGCACAUAUCGCCCGUCGCUCUCAUUUAAGUUGAGAUAAGUCGUAACAAAGUAAAUGUACUGGAAAGUGUAUUUAGUAAG
rnacentral:ncRNA from 1 species